rnacentral:rRNA from 1 species
UUGGAGGAAUGUAUAGCGAAAGCUACUUGCAUUUAGCUUAGUUAAUAAAUGCAGGAUUGACUAUGUCGAAUAAAGUUCUAGGUGGGUUAUGAUGAUGACAUUUCCUAUCUAUGUGUCUUGACCAAAUUACGUGCCAGCAGUCGCGGUAACACGUAAUAGACUAGUGUUAUUCAUCUUUAAUAGGUUUAAAGGGUACCUAGACGGUAAAUCAAGUCCAAGAAGGGUACUAAUUUGCUAGAGUUUAAUGUGAGGGGGCACUAAAGUACUGAUAAGUGUAGAGAUGAAAUUCUGUGAUACAAUAUAUGGCACUGGCAAAGGCGAAAGCAUCUCAUUAUGUAAUAACUGACGUUGAGGGACGAAGGCUAGGUGUAGCAAAAAGGAUUAGAUACCCAAGUAGUCUUAGCAGAAAAUUAUGAAUGUCAUAGGAUGGAAAGUUGGAUGGAUAAACAACAAAACUUUUUCUAUAAAUGAAAGUGUAAGCAUUCCACCUCGAGAGUAAUUUGGCAACAUUGGAACUGAAAUCAUUAGACCGUUUCUGAAACAAGUAGUGAAGUAUGUUGUUUAAUUUGAUGGUCCGCAAAAAACCUUACCACAAUUUGAAUAGAAAUUUUUGUUUCGUACAAGCGCUGCACGGUUGUCUUCAGUUAAUGUCGUGAGAUCUUGGUUAGUUCCAUUAAAUUAACGUAAACCCUUACUUUAUUUUUAUAUAGAGUAGUUCACCGCUAGAUUGGAUGUGAUAACAGGGACUAAGACAAGUCAUCAUGGCCUUAAUAUUGUGGG